GCGCACGGGUGCGUAACGCGUAUGCAAUCUACCUUUUACAGAGGGAUAGCCCAGAGAAAUUUGGAUUAAUACCUCAUAGCAUUAUGAAGUGGCAUCACUUUAUAAUUAAAGUCACAACGGUAAAAGAUGAGCAUGCGUCCCAUUAGCUUGUUGGUAAGGUAACGGCUUACCAAGGCAACGAUGGGUAGGGGUCCUGAGAGGGAGAUCCCCCACACUGGUACUGAGACACGGACCAGACUCCUACGGGAGGCAGCAGUGAGGAAUAUUGGUCAAUGGGCGCAAGCCUGAACCAGCCAUGCCGCGUGCAGGAUGAAGCAUCUAUGGUGUGUAAACUGCUUUUGUACGAGAAGAAACACUCCUACGUGUAGGAGCUUGACGGUAUCGUAAGAAUAAGGACCGGCUAACUCCGUGCCAGCAGCCGCGGUAAUACGGAGGGUCCAAGCGUUAUCCGGAAUCAUUGGGUUUAAAGGGUCCGUAGGCGGUUUUGUAAGUCAGUGGUGAAAGCCCAUCGCUCAACGGUGGAACGGCCAUUGAUACUGCAAGACUUGAAUUAUUGGGAAGCAACUAGAAUAUGUAGUGUAGCGGUGAAAUGCUUAGAUAUUACAUGGAAUACCAAUCGCGAAGGCAGGUUGCUACCCAUACAUUGACGCUGAUGGACGAAAGCGUGGGGAGCGAACAGGAUUAGAUACCCUGGUAGUCCACG
rnacentral:rRNA from 1 species